CUCCUAGAAACAAGGAAGAAGAGUCCUGUUUGGAGUCUGCCUGCCAUUCUGCCCAGGCGGCGGAAGCCCUGCCAGCGGCAUCCCCUAACUACAGCCCCGUAACUGCAAGCCAGGAUGCACUUAGCGGUAACCCCUAGCAGUGGUAACCCCUAAAGCGCCUUCAGGUGCACCCCGUUCUGAUGGCAGCCUUCAUUACGCCUCCAAUGCAAGUCCAUACACCUUCUUGUACACCUUCAAUGAUCCACCCAGCCAUGGCGAAGCCCAUUAUUCUUAACCAAAUGAUUCCAAUAAGCCCAAGUGAAGCCCAAAUAACAUGAUGGGCCAUAAAAUAAGCC
rnacentral:lncRNA from 1 species